UUGAGGAACAUGUGACAAGGUGGGCAACAAUGAUUUUCUAACUGAAACAAAAAACAGGCAUGGAAUGAAGCUCAAAAGCAUUUCCAGUUUGGAAAGGAGACGUAAGUAAAUGCAAUAUCUUGGGACAGGAGUUUUCUAGUGUUCAGGAACACUAAUAGCCUCGGAGACAGGCCUGCCAACUGGCUUUAAUGCCUUGGGCGUUAGGGCAGGUCUGUGUACUUUCUCUCCAGAUCAGUGGGUUUUAGGGGGCUGUUAGAAAGUACCACUAUUCAGAAAUGGUGCCAAAUCCAAAGCUAUCAAAUUCAGCACUUGCCACUUCAGCCCUGCCUCUAGAU